GCUUACGGCCAUACCGCCUGGGUACGCCCGAUCUCGUCUGAUCUCGGAAGCUAAGCAGGGUCGUGCCUGGUUAGUACUUGGAUGGGAGACCGCCUGGGAAUACCAGGUGCUGUAAGCA
rnacentral:rRNA from 1 species